rnacentral:rRNA from 1 species
AAAUGACGGUACCUGACUAAGAAGCCCCGGCUAACUACGUGCCAGCAGCCGCGGUAAUACGUAGGGGGCAAGCGUUAUCCGGAUUUACUGGGUGUAAAGGGAGCGUAGACGGAGCAGCAAGUCUGAUGUGAAAACCCGGGGCUCAACCCCGGGACUGCAUUGGAAACUGUUGAUCUGGAGUGCCGGAGAGGUAAGCGGAAUUCCUAGUGUAGCGGUGAAAUGCGUAGAUAUUAGGAGGAACACCAGUGGCGAAGGCGGCUUACUGGACGGUAACUGACGUUGAGGCUCGAAAGCGUGGGGAGCAAACAGGAUUAGAUACCCUGGUAGUCCACGCCGUAAACGAUGACUACUAGGUGUCGGGUGGCAAAGCCAUUCGGUGCCGCAGCCAACGCAAUAAGUAGUCCACCUGGGGAGUACGUUCGCAAGAAUGAAACUCAAAG